GCCCGGCUAGCUCAAUCGGUAGAGCGUGAGACUCUUAAUCUCAAGGUUGUGGGUUCGACCCGUAAGCCGCUCC
rnacentral:tRNA from 1 species